UACGAAGGGUGCAAGCGUUAAUCGGAAUUACUGGGCGUAAAGGGUGCGUAGGCGGUUGUUUAAGUCUGUCGUGAAAUCCCCGGGCUCAACCUGGGAAUGGCGAUGGAUACUGGGCAGCUAGAGUGUGUCAGAGGAUGGUGGAAUUCCCGGUGUAGCGGUGAAAUGCGUAGAGAUCGGGAGGAACAUCAGUGGCGAAGGCGGUUCUCUGGGACGGUACUGACGCUGAGACGCGAAAGCGUGGGGAGCGAACAGG
rnacentral:rRNA from 1 species